ensembl:rRNA predicted gene, 24238
GCCUCUGGCCAUACCACCCUGAAAGCACCUAGUCUCAUCUGAACUCAAGAUAAGCAGAGUGGGUCCCAGUUAUAAAAUUCUUGCUGGGGAUAUAUUUC